CAAACAUCUCCACUGACUCUCUGACCGGUGGCGUUUCCAGCUCUGACGUCACUGCCUGCCAGUCAGAUUUUUGGGGGAAAUAAGUUUCACUUUCUCAGUGGGAUUCUGGAACUGUUGAUUCCUAGAAAGCCGAGGUUUCUGACCCUGUGACUGGUCCCUCUGUGAUCCUGAAGGGACUCUCUUCUCUCUCUCUGUGUGUGUUAAAGAAUCUGAACCAUGUGGUCCGGUGAAGGAGAGGUUCAGGUGACAGCCCGGAUGGAGACCACCCCUGCCGUGGGCGUCCCGAGUAUCUCUGUUUCCCAGAAUCAGACCCUUAAGAAGUUUGGCCCUGUGGUGGCCCCGAAGCCCCAGUUCAACCCCUACAAGCCGGGAGACCCCGUUGACCCUGC